rnacentral:rRNA from 1 species
UACGUAGGGUGCGAGCGUUGUCCGGAAUUAUUGGGCGUAAAGAGCUCGUAGGCGGUUUGUUGCGUCGGCCGUGAAAACUCAGGGCUUAACUCUGAGCCUGCGGUCGAUACGGGCAGACUUGAGUUCGGUAGGGGAGACUGGAAUUCCUGGUGUAGCGGUGAAAUGCGCAGAUAUCAGGAGGAACACCGGUGGCGAAGGCGGGUCUCUGGGCCGAUACUGACGCUGAGGAGCGAAAGCGUGGGGGAGCGAACAGG